rnacentral:rRNA from 1 species
AUUGAACGCUGGCGGCAGGCCUAACACAUGCAAGUCGGACGAGCGGCGGACGGGUGAGUAAUGUAUGGGAAUCUGCCUGAUGGAGGGGGAUAACUACUGGAAACGGUAGCUAAUACCGCAUACCAUCAGAUGAACCCAUAUGGGAUUAGCUUGUUGGUAGGGUAACGGCUUACCUAGGCGACGAUCCCUAGCUGGUCUGAGAGGAUGACCAGCCACACUGGGACUGAGACACGGCCCAGACUCCUACGGGAGGCAGCAGUGGGGAAUAUUGCACAAUGGGCGCAAGCCUGAUGCAGCCAUGCCGCGUGUAUGAAGAAGGCCUUCGGGUUGUAAAGUACUUUCAGUCGGGAGGCGUUACCCGCAGAAGAAGCACCGGCUAACUCCGUGCCAGCCGCCGCGGUAAUAC